GACGAACGCUGGCGGCGUGCCUAAUACAUGCAAGUUGAGCGCUGAAGGUUGGUACUUGUACCGACUGGAUGAGCAGCGAACGGGUGAGUAACGCGUGGGGAAUCUGCCUUUGAGCGGGGGACAACAUUUGGAAACGAAUGCUAAUACCGCAUAAAAACUUUAAACACAAGUUUUAAGUUUGAAAGAUGCAAUUGCAUCACUCAAAGAUGAUCCCGCGUUGUAUUAGCUAGUUGGUGAGGUAAAGGCUCACCAAGGCGAUGAUACAUAGCCGACCUGAGAGGGUGAUCGGCCACAUUGGGACUGAGACACGGCCCAAACUCCUACGGGAGGCAGCAGUAGGGAAUCUUCGGCAAUGGACGAAAGUCUGACCGAGCAACGCCGCGUGAGUGAAGAAGGUUUUCGGAUCGUAAAACUCUGUUGGUAGAGAAGAACGUUGGUGAGAGUGGAAAGCUCAUCAAGUGACGGAACUACCCAGAAAGGGACGGCUAACUACGUG
rnacentral:rRNA from 1 species